AAGCUACACAACAAGACAUCUUCUGAUGAGGAUGAGAGGACGCUCCCUGAAUCAGCCCGAACAGAGGACUCCGUGUACAUAGAUAUGCCUGACGAGGGAGAGGAAAGCGAGGUGUCCGAGGGGAACACAGAGUGACCCUGUCCUGCCUCAGGCCACCUGCAAAUCUUAUUUUCUCACCUUUAAGCACUACGUAUAAAAUACUUUUCACUGAAACAUAAAAUUCGUAACCAAUUCUA